rnacentral:ncRNA from 2 species
UAGAUGUUGCAGGGGAGCCGCGAAGGCGGCUGAGAAGGAAUACCUGACUCUUUGAACCUGAUCAAGUUUAAGCUUGCGUAGGGAGCAACAGAGGAUGGGAG